UACGUAGGGUGCAAGUGUUAAUCGGAAUUACUGGGCGUAAAGCGUGCGCAGGCGGCUUUGCAAGACAGAUGUGAAAUCCCCGGGCUCAACCUGGGAACUGCAUUUGUGACUGCAUGGCUUGAGUGCGGCAGAGGGGGAUGGAAUUCCGCGUGUAGCAGUGAAAUGCGUAGAUAUGCGGAGGAACACCGAUGGCGAAGGCAAUCCCCUGGGCCUGCACUGACGCUCAUGCACGAAAGCGUGGGGAGCAAACAGG
rnacentral:rRNA from 1 species